GGUGACUUAGCUCAGUUGGAAGAGCACUACGCUGAUAUCGUAGCGGUCGGCGGUUCGAACCUGUCAGUCACCA
rnacentral:tRNA from 1 species